GCGGAGGCAGCAGUGGGGAAUAUUGGACAAUGGACCAUAAGUCUGAUCCAGCAAUUCCGUGUGCACGAUGACGGUCUUAGGAUUGUAAAGUGCUUUCAAUCGGGAAAAAGAAAGUGAUGGUACCGAUAGAAGAAGCGACGGCUAAAUACGUGCCAGCAGCCGCGGUAAUACGUAUGUCGCAAGCGUUAUCCGGAUUUAUUGGGCGUAAAGCGCGUCUAGGCGGUUUGGUAAGUCUGAUGUGGAAAUGCGGGGCUCAACUCCGUAUUGCGUUGGAAACUGCCGAACUAGAGUACUGGAGAGGUGGGCGGAACUACAAGUGUAGAGGUGAAAUUCGUAGAUAUUUGUAGGAAUGCCGAUAGAGAGGUCAGCUCACUGGACAGAUACUGACGCUGAAGCGCGAAAGCAUGGGGAGCAAACAGGAUUAGAUACCCCGGUAGU
rnacentral:rRNA from 1 species